GGGCCGUUAGCUCAAUAGGCAGAGCAACUGACUCUUAAUCAGUAGGUUUGGGGUUCGAUCCCCCGACGGCCCACCA
rnacentral:tRNA from 1 species